UACGGAGGGGACUAGCGUUGUUCGGAAUUACUGGGCGUAAAGCGCGCGUAGGCGGCUUUGUAAGUUAGAGGUGAAAGCCCGGGGCUCAACCCCGGAACUGCCUUUAAGACUGCAUCGCUUGAAUCCGGGAGAGGUGAGUGGAAUUCCGAGUGUAGAGGUGAAAUUCGUAGAUAUUCGGAAGAACACCAGUGGCGAAGGCGGCUCACUGGACCGGUAUUGACGCUGAGGUGCGAAAGCGUGGGGAGCAAACAGG
rnacentral:rRNA from 1 species